rnacentral:tRNA from 1 species
GCUUAUAUAGUGUAAAACAACACAUUACAUUUUCGUUGUAAAAAUGAAAUUAAUUUCUUUAAGCU